rnacentral:rRNA from 1 species
UACGUAGGGUGCGAGCGUUAAUCGGAAUUACUGGGCGUAAAGCGUGCGCAGGCGGUUUUGUAAGCCAGAUGUGAAAUCCCCGGGCUUAACCUGGGAAUGGCAUUUGGGACUGCAAGGCUGGAGUGCGGCAGAGGAGACUGGAAUUCCUGGUGUAGCAGUGAAAUGCGUAGAUAUCAGGAGGAAUACCGAUGGCGAAGGCAGGUCUCUGGGCUGACACUGACGCUCAUGCACGAAAGCGUGGGUAGCGAACAGG